rnacentral:lncRNA from 1 species
UGAAGACACAUAGCCACAGAGGGAAGACGGCCAUGUGAAACUGGAGGCAGAGAUUGGAGUUACAAAACCACAAGCCCAGGGAUGCCUGGGGCCACCAGAAACUGAAAAAGAUCAACUCAGUCUCAGAGAGUUGGAAAGAGUGAGAAGCUGAGCGAAGGUGGCACUCUCUUACUCAGUUCACUGCAGUUGUGUGAUGAGUUCAGGCCAAUGAAGUGUGGGCAGGAGUGAUGCGCACCACUUUCACGCCCGGCCCAUCCAAACCUCCCACGUGUGACCUUCCACCUCUUUCCAUCUGUGGGGACCUUGCUGGAGAUGGCAGUGCUUGCUGAAGAGGCUAAGAGCCUGGGUCCCUGCAUGGCUGUGUGGAGCAGAGCCCUCCCACCCACCGUCACCCACUCCCUUCGGAUUGCUC